AGUCAUGCAAUAUAAUUUCUCACUGAAGCAAUCACAUUAACGUAUUGUGAAGUUCUGAUUGGAUGGGAUAAACACAAGAACAUUCGUCAGAGAGAAUAAAUACCGAAUGACGUGAUAAAAUAGAAAUAGAUAUGAGUUGGUGACUGUGAAUAUUCAGUAUGAUCAGUGCAAUCUCCUUUUAUAUAUUUCUGAGAGGAGAAUAAUAUUAGAAAUUCGUUAUUACCAGGUCAGGAUAGACAUUUUCAAAAUCCUCAUGCCCCAUGCUACACAGAACGGAGCAAAUCCACAGAAGACAGCUUGCAAUACAUUUCUCUGUUGCGUGAAUCCUGAAGGGUUCACGAAUAUAUAUUGGAUGCUCUUGUGCAGCUGACUAAAGUUGUCUUCAAUUUGUUUUCCUGGGAAACCAUACAUUAAGACACAUUUCCCUGAGAAACUAUAAAUAUCGGAAAAUCAAAUAUUUACGCUUACAAUAAUAUCAACGCACUUUCUAUUUCCCUGGGAAACUUUUCAUUAAUACCAGUACAAUAUAUAAAUUAUUCAUUAUCUUAAAAUAAUAUAUUCCUUUCGGCUUUUCUUGCCAUAAAAAAAAUAGUCAUAUACAUGUAUAAGAUCCAAUAAUUGUUCGAAUAAUCUGCUGAAAUUAAACUUGUAAAGUUAAGAUGAUUUCAAAAAGUAGUAUUGAAUCAUGCUCAAAGAUCUCUGCUUUUUCCUUAUAUUGUAUAUUCAGAAAUGUCGAAUUUCUGUUGUUUCCCACACAAAACUCGGUGCCGACAUAUUUAUUAUUGCUCGUAAGUAACGUUCAUUCCAUAUAUCUUUUUUUCGUCUUUAACUUCGUUUGUUAACUUCUGGAGAAGUGCACCCUCAACUGAAAUUCCGCGUCCUAUUGUUUCUCUAACCUUUCAAAAGAAGUGUUAUGAAGAACAGCAUGCAUAUGUAGUGUUCCUCACACAUUGCAAAGAUUCCAUUUAAGAAUUGUUCCGACAGUUUAUUUCUAAUAAUAUCAAGUUUCUAAUAGAAAUAAGAAUUAGAGCCUUUUAUCUAACGACGUUGUGAAAUUAAGUGUUAAUCUAAGACAGCUUAGUUGGGAUUGCCAUUAAAGUGUCAGAUUGCAAAUGAUUUUGGAAAACCCAGUAUUUAACAAUAUUGCUGGUGAUAGAUA